AAUGUACUCCCUCCGUUCCAAAUUACUCGUCGCAGAAAUGGAUGUAUCUAGAACUAAAAUACAUCUAGAUACAUCCAUACUUGCGACAAGUAAUUCGGAACGGAGGGAGUAUUAU
rnacentral:pre_miRNA from 1 species